rnacentral:rRNA from 1 species
CGACGUAAAGAACUUGCCUCACAGCUAGGGACAACAUUUAGAAAUGAAUGCUAAUACCUAAUAUUAUGAUAAUAGGGCAUCCUAUAAUUAUGAAAGCUAUAUGCGCUGUGAGAGAGCUUUGCGUCCCAUUAGCUAGUUGGAGAGGUAACGGCUCACCAAGGCGAUGAUGGGUAGCCGGCCUGAGAGGGUGAUCGGCCACAAGGGGACUGAGACACGGCCCUU